CUUCGACGCGCCCAGCCACAGCGGGUCGUCGGUCUUGCGGCCGCGGCCGUACGUCGCCACCAGUGCCCGCGCCUC
rnacentral:antisense_RNA from 1 species